UAACCUUGCUUGUGAAAGUAGGCUGAACGUACAGAAGUCAGCAGAAGCCAUAGUACGCAUGGUGUUGCAACAUCUGCGGAAGGGC
rnacentral:ncRNA from 1 species